GACGAACGCUGGCGGCGUGCCUAAUACAUGCAAGUAGAACGCUGAAGGAGGAGCUUGCUUCUCUGGAUGAGUUGCGAACGGGUGAGUAACGCGUAGGUAACCUGCCUGGUAGCGGGGGAUAACUAUUGGAAACGAUAGCUAAUACCGCAUAAUAGUAGAUGUUGCAUGACAUUUGCUUAAAAGGUGCAAUUGCAUCACUACCAGAUGGACCUGCGUUGUAUUAGCUAGUUGGUGGGGUAACGGCUCACCAAGGCGACGAUACAUAGCCGACCUGAGAGGGUGAUCGGCCACACUGGGACUGAGACACGGCCCAGACUCCUACGGGAGGCAGCAGUAGGGAAUCUUCGGCAAUGGACGGAAGUCUGACCGAGCAACGCCGCGUGAGUGAAGAAGGUUUUCGGAUCGUAAAGCUCUGUUGUAAGAGAAGAACGAGUGUGAGAGUGGAAAGUUCACACUGUGACG
rnacentral:rRNA from 1 species